CCCGCAAAGGGGGUGGAGCAAGGUGUGUGUGUGCAGUAGAUGAAGCGAGCACAGAGAGAGCUGCUUUUCAUAAAACGGGACUAAAAUAGUAAACUUACAGGAACAUAUACCACUACCAACGUUUGGAUCGAUAUCUGCAUCGAUCUGCACACCCUUGUCUCCUGGAUCAACGUGAACCACGGUGGUCUCCUCUGCCCGAUCUGUUUCCUGUGUUUGGAAAGACUUCCAGCUUCAUCACGGAGUUUCUCUCGGUUUGUGGGCUCAUGUAAAGCUGAGUAACAGGAGGAGAAGAGUCUGGAGCAGGAGAUGAACAAUUUCAGCCAUUUGGACUCAGCUCAGCCACUACAGAGGAAACAAUGACUUCAACACAAAAGGACCAACAUGGAGCAAGAAGUCAGCGCUCUCA